GAGGAGGAUCUUCUCAAUCCCACAACAAAGAGCCCGCAAAGCCGAUCAAUUUGCAUCCAAGAGGAGAGCCAGGGUGUUCCGAGCAGGCUUCCCUUCCCACUCUCCCCCCCCUCGCCCGGCCUUCCCAGCGCUACGGAGCACAAGAGUGACGGUCAACAGGCAACGGCGAAAGCUGAAGAGCGAAUCAAUCAAAGGGAAGUUCUCAAAGGACUAGGGGGAAAAAAGCCCAUCAAAGCCCCUCAGAGGACUGCCCGGGUCUUCAAUCCAAGAUCUACAUUAAUUAGGAUGAAUCUACCUUUGAUGCCUGAGCGAGACACACACUGCAGCUGGGAAGAGGAAGAUCCUAGUCCAUCCUUUACUGCAUUUUAAUACUGUAGCAAUCAGUGUAUAACCAUCUACCAGAAUCAUCAAACCAACUAAAACUGAAA